CAGAGUGAGGAAGGGGGUGACCAGUGACAGAGGGAGGGGUGACUAGGGACAGAGUGAGGGAGGUGGUGACUAGUGACUUGUGACAGUCACCACCUCCCUCACUCUGUCACCUGUCAUCCCCUUACUCUGUCACUAGUCACCCCUUCCUUCCCUCACUCUGCCACUAGUCACCCCUUCCCUCACUCUG